UUGCCGCGUGAGUGAUGAAGGUUCUCGGAUCGUAAAACUCUGUUGUUAGGGAAGAACAAGUGCAUAGUAACUGAUGGCGCCUUGACGGUACCUAACCAGAAAGCCACGGCUAACUACGUGCCAGCAGCCGCGGUAAUACGUAGGUGGCAAGCGUUGUCCGGAAUUAUUGGGCGUAAAGCGCUCGCAGGCGGUUCUUUAAGUCUGAUGUGAAAUCUUACGGCUCAACCGUAAACGUGCAUUGGAAACUGGGGAACUUGAGUGCAGAAGAGGAGAGUGGAAUUCCACGUGUAGCGGUGAAAUGCGUAGAGAUGUGGAGGAACACCAGUGGCGAAGGCGACUCUCUGGUCUGUAACUGACGCUGAGGAGCGACAGCGUGGGGAGCGAACAGGAUUAGAUACCCUGGUAGUCCACGCCGUAAACGAUGAGUGCUAGGUGUCAGGGGGUUUCCGCCCCUUAGUGCUGAAGUUAACGCAUUAAGCACUCCGCCUGGGGAGUACGGCCGCAAGGCUGAAACUCAAAAGAUUUGACGGGGGCCCGCACCAAGCGGUGGAGCAUGUGGUUUAGUUCGAAGCAACGCGAAGAACCUUACAGGUCUUGACAUCCUCUGAACGCUCUAGAGA
rnacentral:rRNA from 1 species